rnacentral:piRNA from 1 species
UCCCCUUUUUUGAGGGAAUAAAGCCCUGUU